rnacentral:lncRNA from 1 species
UCUGUUGUUACAGCACCCCAAGAUCAGCCAGAAUCCUCUGUGUUGCCUAAUCCUUUGGAGAAUGUCUCCACUGGCACAGGUCCUGCACAACAGUAUCCUACAGACCUACCUGAUCCUCUGGAGAAUGUUUCCACUUGCACAGCUCCUACACAUCAGCAUACGCAGGCACUAGCUACAGAUCAGCAAUGGAAUGCAUAUGUCCACAGUGUAACCAUGGGUGAGAAUUGCAAUAAAGGAAAGGCUGUUAUAGAGGUACCAGAUGCUGGUUGGGUAGGACAGCAGAUUGAUCCAGGCCCCUCUCAUACUCCUUCUGUUACAUGAUUAUUGUUACAUGGAACAUUAGAGGGCUAAUCAAAGCCCAUAAGCAGAAAGAGUUGAAAAACUUUCUUGCUGUAAAUAAGGUAGAUAUUUUGGGUUGUCUUGAAAUUAGAGUAAAGGAGCAUAAAGCUAAAAAGAUCAAAUGGAAGAUAGCAAAGGCAUGGAAGGUUUACUGUAACUAUUUAGAAGCAGUGAAUGGGAGAAUCUGGCUGCUAUGGAAACCACAUAUUCAGGUGACUAUAUCACAAGUGACUGACCAGUUUGUACAAUGUUACUUAGAAGAUCCUCAUAGCCAAGUCAAAACUCACUUUAGUAUUAUAUAUGCUCAAAAUACUGCUAACCUUAGAGAGUAGUUGUGGAGUGAUCUUAGGAACAUUUCAAU